AUCCCUUCUAGGUCUUUUGGUUAAGACCAAGUGUAGGAUCUGUUUUUAUCAGUUUAAUAUCUGGUAUGUCCUUUAUCCCAGGACAAUAUAUGAAGUGGAUUUUUGGAGCAGGGAGAUGGUUGAAAAUAAUACACCAUGCUUAACUUUGACCAUUUGCU
ensembl:snRNA U2 U2 spliceosomal RNA